GGGGGCAUAGCUCAGUGGUAGUGUGUGUAUGUGCUUAGCAUGCACAAGGUCCUGGGUUCAAUCCGCUGUACCUCCA
rnacentral:tRNA from 1 species